CCUACGGGUGGCAGCAGUCGAGAAUCUUUCACAAUGGGGGAAACCCUGAUGGUGCGACGCCGCGUGGGGGAAUGAAGCUCUUCGGAUUGUAAACCUCUGUUAUGUGGGAGCAAAUUACAACGAUCGUCCCCCCAGAGGAAGAGCCGGCUAACUCUGUGCCAGCAGCCGCGGUAAUACAGAGGUCUCAAGCGUUGUUCGGAAUCACUGGGCGUAAAGCGUGCGUAGGCUGUUUGUUAAGUCGUGUGUGAAAGGCGCGGGCUCAACCCGCGGACGGCACAGGAUACUGGGGGACUAGAGUGGGGGAGGGGGAGGCGGAAUGCGCGGUGUAGCAGUGAAAUGCGUAGAUAUCGAGAGGAACACUCGUGGCGAAGGCAGGUUCCUGGAGAUUAACUGACGCUGAGGCACGAAGGCGAGGGGAGCGAAAGGGAUUAGAUACCCCUGUAGUC
rnacentral:rRNA from 1 species